GACGAAGGUGGCGAGCGUUGUUCGGAAUCACUGGGCCUAAAGCGCACGUAGGCGGUGUCGUAAGUCGGGUGUGAAAUCCCUCGGCCUAACCGAGGGACUGCGCCCGAUACUGCGAUGCUUGAGGACCAGAGGGGUGCAUGGAAUUUCCGGUGGAGCGGUGAAAUGCGUUGAUAUCGGAAGGAACUCCGGCGGCGAAAGCGAUGCACUGGCUGGUUUCUGACGCUGAGGUGCGAAAGCCAGGGGAGCAAACGGG
rnacentral:rRNA from 1 species